CGGCUCUUUAGUUCAUUCUAAUUGCACAAGUAAAACUCGCGCAUUAUUAUUGAUCGUCACUUCCUCGCUCGUUGAGCAUUGGGAAAUUUACGCGCCUGCUGCCUUCCUUAGAUGUGGUAGCCGUCCCUCAGGCUCCCUCUCCGGAAUCGAACCCUGAUUCUCCGUUACCCGUCAAAGACUUGUUAGGCCAAUACCUUAACAACAAUCUGAUAGGGGAAAGACCCGACCGAGUCAUCCUCCGCUAAAAGCAUGAGGAUCCGCAGUUUGUCAUGAUUCAGCACAUAAGUGUUGAUUUGAAGCUAACAAAUGCAGAAGCUCCGUGAGAAGCCUCUUUUGACGCAUGAUUAGCCCUUGAAUUACAACGGUUAUCCAGUUGUACUUUGUCCUCGGGGAGGUUAUGGUUCGUUUAUUGAGCCAUACGCAGAUUCACUGACAACUUGUUUAGUCUUGGACAUGCAUGGCUUAGUCUUUGAUCUAAGAAUAUGAUCACUGGAA
rnacentral:rRNA from 1 species